AAGUCGUAACAAGGUAACCGUAGGUGAACCUGCGGUUGGAUCAUUACUUAGUUCUUUUACGAAAGUGACUACUGAGCUCUGCCAUCUUAGUAUGGUAUCUUUACAUUAUGUGAACCGUAACCGUCUCUGGUGGGUGGGCAGCACUCUUUGAGUACUGCUUGUCAGCAUGAGUGUCACCGACACUUGUAGCCGUGGACAACCCACCAACCCUCGGCAUUUGCCGAUUAUUUUUUUCACCUUUAUUGUAUUUUCAUGACUGACAUCUACCUGUAUUUAAUACAAAAACAACUUUUGGCAACGGAUCUCUUGGCUCUC
rnacentral:misc_RNA from 1 species